rnacentral:rRNA from 1 species
UACAGAGGGUGCUAGCGUUGUUCGGAAUUACUGGGCGUAAAGGGCGCGUAGGCGGCACUGUUAGUCAGGCGUGAAAGUCCUGGGCUCAACCUGGGAACUGCGCUUGAUACGGCAGAGCUAGAGGAUGGAAGAGGCUCGCGGAAUUCCCAGUGUAGAGGUGAAAUUCGUAGAUAUUGGGAAGAACACCGGUGGCGAAGGCGGCGAGCUGGUCCAUUACUGACGCUGAGGCGCGACAGCGUGGGGAGCGAACCGG